GUGAGUUGGAUCCCAGACAUUGGAGGG
rnacentral:misc_RNA from 1 species